rnacentral:rRNA from 1 species
GACGAACGCUGGCGGCGCGCCUAACACAUGCAAGUCGAACGGAGCGCACGAGAAGAUCCCUUCGGGGUGAUUUUUGUGUUUGCUUAGUGGCGAACGGGUGAGUAACACGUGAGCAACCUACCCUCUGGCGGGGGACAACAUCUGGAAACGGAUGCUAAUACCGCAUAAGACCACGGUGCCGCAUGGCACUGAGGCCAAAGGAGCAAUUCACCAGAGGAUGGGCUCGCGCCUGAUUAGAUAGUUGGUGGGGUAACGGCCUACCAAGUCAACGAUCAGUAGCCGGACUGAGAGGUCGAUCGGCCACAUUGGGACUGAGACACGGCCCAGACUCCUACGGGAGGCAGCAGUGGGGAAUAUUGCACAAUGGGCGAAAGCCUGAUGCAGCGACGCCGCGUGAGGGAAGAAGGUUUUCGGAUUGUAAACCUCUGUCUUUGGGGACGAAGAAGUGACGGUACCCAAGGAGGAAGCCACGGCUAACUACGUGCCAGCAGCCGCGGUAACAC